GAUGAAGAACGCAGCGAAAUGCGAUAAGUAAUGUGAAUUGCAGAAUUCAGUGAAUCAUCGAAUCUUUGAACGCACAUUGCGCCCGCCAGUAUUCUGGCGGGCAUGCCUGUCCGAGCGUCAUUUCAACCCUCGAACCCCUCCGGGAGGUCGGCGUUGGGGAUCGGCCCUUUACGGGGCCGGCCCCGAAAUACAGUGGCGGUCUCGCCGCAGCCUCUCCUGCGCAGUAGUUUGCACACUCGCAUCGGGAGCGCGGCGCGUCCACAGCCGUUAAACACCCCAAACUUCUGAAAUGUUGACCUCGGAUCAGGUAGGAAUACCCGCUGAACUUAAGCAUAUCAAUAAGCGGAGGA
rnacentral:misc_RNA from 1 species